rnacentral:rRNA from 1 species
AGAGUUUGAUCCUGGCUCAGGACGAACGCUGGCGGCGUGCCUAACACAUGCAAGUCGAACGGAGAAUUUUAUUUCGGUAGAAUUCUUAGUGGCGAACGGGUGAGUAACGCGUAGGCAACCUACCCUUUAGACGGGGACAACAUUCCGAAAGGAGUGCUAAUACCGGAUGUGAUCAUCUUGCCGCAUGGCAGGAUGAAGAAAGAUGGCCUCUACAAGUAAGCUAUCGCUAAAGGAUGGGCCUGCGUCUGAUUAGCUAGUUGGUAGUGUAACGGACUACCAAGGCGAUGAUCAGUAGCCGGUCUGAGAGGAUGAACGGCCACAUUGGGACUGAGACACGGCCCAAACUCCUACGGGAGGCAGCAGUGGGGAAUCUUCCGCAAUGGACGAAAGUCUGACGGAGCAACGCCGCGUGAGUGAUGAAGGAUUUCGGUCUGUAAAGCUCUGUUGUUUAUGACGAACGUGCAGUGUGUGAACAAUGCAUUGCAAUGACGGUAGUAAACGAGGAAGCCACGGCUAACUACGUGCCAGCAGCCGCGGUAAUACGUAGGUGGCGAGCGUUGUCCGGAAUUAUUGGGCGUAAAGAGCAUGUAGGCGGCUUAAUAAGUCGAGCGUGAAAAUGCGGGGCUCAACCCCGUAUGGCGCUGGAAACUGUUAGGCUUGAGUGCAGGAGAGGAAAGGGGAAUUCCCAGUGUAGCGGUGAAAUGCGUAGAUAUUGGGAGGAACACCAGUGGCGAAGGCGCCUUUCUGGACUGUGUCUGACGCUGAGAUGCGAAAGCCAGGGUAGCGAACGGGAUUAGAUACCCCGGUAGUCCUGGCCGUAAACGAUGGGUACUAGGUGUAGGAGGUAUCGACCCCUUCUGUGCCGGAGUUAACGCAAUAAGUACCCCGCCUGGGGAGUACGGCCGCAAGGUUGAAACUCAAAGGAAUUGACGGGGGCCCGCACAAGCGGUGGAGUAUGUGGUUUAAUUCGAAGCAACGCGAAGAACCUUACCAGGCCUUGACAUGGAAACAAAUACCCUAGAGAUAGGGGGAUAAUUAUGGAUCACACAGGUGGUGCAUGGUUGUCGUCAGCUCGUGUCGUGAGAUGUUGGGUUAAGUCCC